ACAACUGGUUUGUGCCGCCUUAGUGGUAAAGUAAAAUUGUUAUUAUUGGUCCCGCCAACAGUGCCAUUGUGUUUCGUACUUUAUGGCGAAAUACUAGAAAUAUGACAUUUUCUAGCGAACACUUCAAAAUACAAUGUUUUUUUACGUUAAAAAAAAAUUGUUUGUAAGAUACAAGAUCUGCAGUUGUGAUCAGAGCAGAUAAAAGACCUGCUAGAACACAUGAACGCACAUUUAAUGAUCCAACAAUGGAUGAAGUGGAAAUGUUUAUUGUUGGUGACGUUCAUAUGACGCGUUUCAAUACCCGCUGAUGUUCUGGCAAGGUGACGAUGAAUAUAACUUUAAUAUCAAAAUGAAAAAUUUAUUGAAUGGUAAGAUCAAUGCCGUUAACGUAUUAGGUGUUCUAAAAUACAAUUUUUAUCAAAUUUGUAAGGGUAACAAAGGGUUAGGAAACUACCAAGAAGGUUAGGUCGAUGAAAUACUACGCAUACCGUUUGCUGAUUCGUAAAAAUUUUGACAAUUAUUACUUCAACAAUAUUGCGUUUACAUGUCGAAACAAUACGUAGUACCUUAAUUUUAUUCGGUUGAAUCAAGGUAUUUUAAACUCCUUGAAUGUGCAGGGUUAAUGCUUAGAAAUUUAAACCAACCAAAACGGUGCAGUGGAAAGCGUUUGUUGAUAAGAAAACUGAUGAUCAAUACUUAAAGAAAAAUUUAAAGAUGAGGAAAAUCGUAUUUCAAGGAUCCCGAUUCGGGUUUUCUUCGCCAUGACGAUCAACAAAUCACAGGACCAAUCCUUGACUAGUUGCGGCCUUAAUCUAAAAAAUUCAUGUUUUCACCAAAAAACAAAAAAUGUCGUUU